AGACUGGGUCAUUUAUAAAGGAAAGAGGUUUAAUUGACUCACAGUUCUGCACGGCUGGGGAGGCCUCAGGAAACUUACAAACAUGCACCAGUAUGAUAGUAGCUAGCCCCGUGCAAGCACUAGAGAUGUGUCUGGAGCAACGGAGGAGCUAAGUUCUCAAUUUCAUUUCAUAGCAGUUAAUUUGAAUAGCCGCUGGUGGCCAGCAACUACUGUAUUGGACUUUGCAGGACUAGCAUGAGAGAAGAGGAGGGCCAAGGAGCGUAGGUCAUUCUGUGAGAGGAGGUCACUGAUAAUCUGUCACACCUAAGAGGACCAUCUGCAGGUUACCAUU
rnacentral:lncRNA from 1 species